GAUGAACGCUAGCGGGAGGCUUAACACAUGCAAGUCGAGGGGCAGCAUUUACUUCGGUAAGAUGGCGACCGGCGCACGGGUGCGUAACGCGUAUGCAACCUACCUUAUACAGAGGGAUAGCCCAUGGAAACGUGGAUUAAUACCUCAUAGUAUUGUUUAAUCGCAUGAUUUUACAAUUAAAAUUUCGAUGGUAUAAGAUGGGCAUGCGUCUGAUUAGUUAGUUGGUGAGGUAACGGCUCACCAAGACGACGAUCAGUAGGGGUUCUGAGAGGAUUAUCCCCCACACUGGUACUGAGACACGGACCAG
rnacentral:rRNA from 1 species